CGAUAGUAGACUAGUCGAUGUGAUAUGUAUGGGUUACUUGGUGUCAGCGGACAUCUUGUGUUCGCUAUUAAAACACACCAGUGACCAGACAUAUCCCUAUCGCAUAGUUUAGAUCAUC
rnacentral:pre_miRNA from 1 species